UAGACUAGCCGCGCCCCGCUGUAGUACGGUCCCUAGAAUAUAGCUGUAGAGAUGACGCCGAUAUGUUUGGGCUUUUGGGACGGCGGCGUUUGUGUCCGCUGGCGGCGGGAGUGGAAGACGCGGCACUUGUACGCCUUCGGAUGUUAGCUGUUUUAAGGUUGCAUGAGAUGGCGGCAAGCACUGUGUUCAUGUCUUUGCUGCUCAAGGUCGUCACAAUGGGCAAAGUUGUAGCACAAAUGACGGGUAGGUAUGAACAUUAUUGCUGCAAUUUACUUGCUCAUCACCAUUGCCUCAAUUUAAUACAUAUGCAGACCCUCGUUGGUGUUCGCCCAGCCGUACGUACUUUGCUAACAGCCGCCCUACUGCUCGUUCACCGUCACCCCAACCACGCCGCUAUUCCAUGCUGACCAACUAAGUAUCAUCUCGGACGGAAAACAAGAUCAUGCAGCUCCUAGAGCAGAGAGCCAGAAGACUGCACUGGAAACUCCAUUCAACACCAUAUUGCAGAACAUACAGUGAUGUGACCCCAAGGCCCCCGAGUAUUUUCUGACAUUGUUCCCACUAUUGCAAUAAAUGAUGAGAUCACACACACUCUACUAGAAUAAAUGCAGUUGUCGUGCGCUUACAGCAAAUAAACUUCUUCAAAGUCUAAUUUGUUUUGUGACUCAUUUAUGUUGCUUCCCCAACACCCACCAUUAUUCACAGCCAGGAUACUAACUACCAGAUGGACCGGUCCCACCCAUGAAAAUGUCAUAGCUAUUUAGCAACCACAGGAGAUAUACUUUUGUAAUUAGAGCACAGGGUUUACGAAAGGACACAGUACAUGGGUCUGCAAUUGAAAAUACACUAUCUGACCUUGGAGUCACUGAAAAGUAAGUAGUGUCUGUGGCCCAAUCUAAA